AAAACAUAUAGUGAGAGAUUUGUGUAAUCAGAAUCAUAUUAUUUCAACCUUCCCCUCUCCUUGCUUUCCUUGUCCACCAUGGAAAAGCGGGAGAAAAAUGGCUGGACGUCUGUUCCUCAAUUUGGAGGGUGGGACUCCAAGGCAACAGGAGCAACCGAUUAUUCCAUGGUUUUUUCACAAGCUCGAGCUAAUAGGAAGCAGCAGAAGACAAAUAUCAAACAUACCAGUCUUGGAAAUGAAAGAGAGUUGAUUGCUGCUACUACUCAACAAGAUGAUUCAGUCAUGAGGAAAAAGAAGAUCUUGACCUACAUUAAUUGCUGUAUUAAGCCUUGAUUUCCAGAUAAUUUCAAGGCAUUGUCCAUUAAUCUCCUAUCAUUUUUACAAUAUUAAAAACAAUGUUUGGCUAGUAAAUUUACAGAUGAAAUAUGUCCAUCAACAGAUAUUUCAUCUGGGAACUUCUGUAAUCUUUUAGUGUGCUACAUAUGUAAAAAUAGCAAAAAUCUCUGAUUCAGCAUCUGCUUGGAAAAGCAGGAAAGAAAAUGUUGAAACAGGAUAAAAACAGUGAAUUCAUCUGUUAACAUCAAUAAUACUUUUUGCAAGGAAGGUUACACAGCAUUUAGAAUCCAAUUUAUUUCUUCAAGACAAGUUUCUGCAUUGUGCAUAGUUUACAUAUGCAUUUUCAGUAUAGACUGAAGAAGCCUAAUACCUGCACUUAAGUUGUAGAUUUAAAUCGAAUAACAGGAGCAUGGAGGGAAGAAAGGUAUAAUUCAUCCGCCUUGUUAAUUCCAUUAAAAAGGUAACUGAAAGGGGCCAUUUCUAUGUACUUUCCAGAACCAGGGACAACCUUCAGUUCAUCAUUUUCCCAUACAACUCUUCCUCCAGCAAUUGUCACCUCAACCUUUCCCUUCCCUUUCUUGCCCUCAUAGACAUUUGUAUCCGUUCGAGAGUGGUGAGACCUUGCACUAAUUUCAAAGCUUGAGUUUGGAUUGAAUAUAAUUAUAUCUGCGUCAGAUCCAGCAAGAAUUGCUCCUUUUCUUGGAUAUAUAUUGAAGAUCUUAGCACAUUCUGUGCUUGUCACCCGAACAAAAUCAGUAACAGAAAUUUGGCCAGAUUCCACCAUUGUGUCCCAAACUAGAUGCAUCCUCUCCUCAAUUCCAUUGACACCAUUUGGAAUUUUGCGGAAAUCAUCAAUUCCGAGGGCUUUUUGUGUAGAAUUAAACGUGCAAUGAUCAGUUCCCACAAGCUGCAGAACUCCAGUUGAAAGGGCAGCUUGUAGGGCCUUGUCAUGUCCUGAUGCUCUAAUAGGGGGACUCAUGACAUACUUUGAUGCAGUGGUGAAAUCAGGAUCCCAAAGCUUAGAAUCAUCAAGAACUAAACCAGAAACCACAGGUUCUCCAAUAACCCUCUGUCCUGACUUUCGAGCUCUAGCUAUCUCUUCCAUUGCAUCAAUACUCAUCACAUGAACUACAUAGAGAGGUGUGUUCACAAACCUCGCUAAACGAAUUGCACGAGCAGUUGCCUCACCUUCCAGCACUGGUGGCCUCGAAAAAGCAUGCCCCUCUGGACCAGUAAUACCAAGUUCUAUCAUUCUUUUCUGUCCUUCAAAUACAGCAUCUCCAUUUUCUGCAUGGACCAUGGCUAAGGCACCAAGAGACUUGCACAUUUUGAAUCCUUCUAACAUAAGCUCAUCAUUGAUCAUAACAAACCCCUUGUACGCCAUAAAAAACUUGAAAGAGUUUAUACCUCUUUCCUUCACCAUAAUUUCCAUUUCCUUUGAAACAACUUCAUCCCAUUUGGUGAUUGCCAUAUGGAAACCGUAAUCCAUGCAAGAGUUCUUUGCCUUUUUUUCAUAGGCUUCAAAACCUGCUGUUAAACUGCCAUUGAUUGGUAAGACAAAAUCAAUAUGCAUUGUUGUUCCACCUGCUAAAGCUGCAGCCUGACCACUGAAGAAGUCAUCAAUGGCCUCGGUACCCAUAAAUGGUAUAGCUAGAUGGGUGUGGGGAUCAAUUCCUCCUGGCAUGACAAACUUUCCAGUCGCAUCAAGCACCUUAACAUCAUCACCAACCUGCCAAUGGAAACCAAACAAUUCAAAUGCGAAUGAUAGGGAGAACAAUAAAAAGGAAAGACAUCAAAAAUAAAUACCUGGCUGAGAAUAAGCCAGAAAACUAGGCAACUGAGCACCAGGAGAGGGCAAUAGACAGAUAUCACAUUCUAUAUAGAACAGAGAGGUUCAUUUAUAAAUUGUAAGGGCAUUAGUAGAUAUAGACUUCAACAGUAAGAAGUCCAUAACUACAGAGUCAAAGAAGCUUGCACUUUUUAACGCCACUUCUAUGCCAAGUUGGAAGGCUUAGUUAUUACUUGCUUCAAGGUGUACCACUGAAAUGCAGGAAACAUGAGAAAACAUAGUUGAUUGUUUUGAAGAAACUCUAUGAGUGAUUUCAAAAUUAAUU
rnacentral:misc_RNA from 1 species